rnacentral:rRNA from 1 species
UACGGAGGGUGCAAGCGUUAUCCGGAUUCACUGGGUUUAAAGGGAGCGUAGGUGGCUUUGUAAGUCAGUGGUGAAAUAUUGCGGCUCAACCGCAAAACUGCCAUUGAUACUGCUUAGCUUGAAUCACGUCGAGGUGGAUGGAAUAAUACAUGUAGCGGUGAAAUGCUUAGAUAUGUAUUAGAACACCGAUUGCGAAGGCAGUUCACUAGGCGUGUAUUGACACUGAGGCUCGAAAGCGUGGGGAUCAAAC